rnacentral:rRNA from 3 species
AAAUUGAAGAGUUUGAUCAUGGCUCAGAUUGAACGCUGGCGGCAGGCCUAACACAUGCAAGUCGAACGGUAACAGGAAGCAGCUUGCUGCUUCGCUGACGAGUGGCGGACGGGUGAGUAAUGUCUGGGAAACUGCCUGAUGGAGGGGGAUAACUACUGGAAACGGUGGCUAAUACCGCAUAACGUCGCAAGACCAAAGAGGGGGACCUUCGGGCCUCUUGCCAUCAGAUGUGCCCAGAUGGGAUUAGCUUGUUGGUGAGGUAAUGGCUCACCAAGGCGACGAUCCCUAGCUGGUCUGAGAGGAUGACCAGCCACACUGGAACUGAGACACGGUCCAGACUCCUACGGGAGGCAGCAGUGGGGAAUAUUGCACAAUGGGCGCAAGCCUGAUGCAGCCAUGCCGCGUGUAUGAAGAAGGCCUUCGGGUUGUAAAGUACUUUCAGCGGGGAGGAAGGUGUUGUGGUUAAUAACCGCAGCAAUUGACGUUACCCGCAGAAGAAGCACCGGCUAACUCCGUGCCAGCAGCCGCGGUAAUACGGAGGGUGCAAGCGUUAAUCGGAAUUACUGGGCGUAAAGCGCACGCAGGCGGUCUGUCAAGUCGGAUGUGAAAUCCCCGGGCU